rnacentral:misc_RNA from 1 species
UACGGAGGGUGCAAGCGUUGUCCGGAAUCAUUGGGUGUAAAGGGUGUGCAGGCGGACCUGUAAGUCAGAGGUGAAAGCCCGCGGCUUAACCGUGGAAUUGCCUUUGAUACUGCAGGUCUUGAGUCUCGGAGAGGUCACUAGAAUUCGUGGUGUAGCGGUGAAAUGCGUAGAUAUCACGAGGAAUACCAGAAGCGUAGGCGGGUGACUGGACGAGAACUGACGCUGAGGCACGAAAGCGUGGGGAGCAAACAGG